CAUUCUUCUCUUUUCCUUGUGUUGCUCGCCCAGGGCCGUGGUGCUGAGGCGACGCUGCUCAAGGUGGAUCCGGAGCCCCGCGGCUUCGGAAGCUGAGACACCUAUCGCGAGGGGAGAACCUGGCGCUCCCCCGCUCCGACGCAAGGCGACCCGCCGCCGCAGCCCCGGAAGCGCAUCCUCGGCUUCGCUGGCCUUCCUGUUCCCAGCAGCGCCCGGCUCCGGGCGUUUCUUCGCUCUCUCACGGUCCGCGCCCGCCCUGCCCCAGCCGAGGGCACCCGCGCGGCCAGGGCCGCAGCUGGGAGCCCCGCGCCUCUCGGACGGCCGCGCGACUCGGUGACCACCUCGGAGGCCUCAGUCUCGAGAAAAGUCACUGGCAGCACCAGUUUAAAAUCAAGCCUUGCGCCCUGGUGUUUGGCCUAUAACCUCCAUCUGACAUAUAACCUGCUUCCAUGUUAAGUGGAUCAAUCACACGCUUUUCUGGGACAGCAGUCUCGAUAUUCCACCUAACAUCCUCAGGUCUCUGGAGAGUCAGCCACCUGGUGUCCUGAUAAACUUCCUAAAAAAAUCUUUCUAGGAGCAGUGUGAGGAGGACAGACGAGCCCUCUGGACUGGCAAGGCCACCGGCCAAGUACUGCUGCCACCAUGCCCAAGAGAAAGGCAAAAGGAGAUGCUAAAGGUGACAAAGCAAAGGUGAAGGAUGAGCCACAGAGGAGAUCAGCACGGUUGUCCGCUAAACCUGCCCCCCCAAAACCAGAGCCCAGGCCUAAAAAGGCCCCUGCAAAGAAGGGAGAGAAGCUGCCCAAAGGGAGAAAGGGGAAAGCAGAUAGUGGCAAGGAUGGGAACAACCCUGCGAAAAACCGAGAUGCCGCCACAGUCCAGUCACAGAAAGCGGAAGGCAGCGGGGAUGCCAAGUGAAGUGUGCUAUUUUGAUAGCUCUGUACUUCUAGUGACUCUGCUGUUUGAAAUACUGUUUUUUUUCAAAUCAACUUUUAUAAAAAUGUAGAAUUUUGUUUUUCUUUUUAAGUUAUAUUGUUAGCACACAGGACACUUAGUUGUCUUUUGUGGAAAGGGCAAAUACCACUAACAGAGUGUUUCAGAAGCUGGAUUAAAAUGGAGGAAAAUAGUAUUUUCUGUCCUCAUUUUUGAAGAUUAUUCUUGGUCCCCGGGAGAGAUUCUCUGACAUUCACACACGAGUCAGUCACUUUGGCUCAGACGCCUUACAGUGUGUGGAAGCAAAACUUCAUGUCUUUGCCUUUCCUGAUACCAUCAGCAUAUAUUUGACUUUCUGAACCCAAGAGUUAUGGUUUCAGAAAACCAGCAUCCCUAAAAUCAGCUGUGUUGGGUAAUAAUCCUCAGGCCUUCUGAUGAAGACAUCGACAUGGUGUUGCUCAAAAGAGCCAAGAUUCCUGUUUGCAAUUUGUGGAUCAUCCCAUUGAUAAUCCUGGAGUUUGUAGUUUUCUCCAAGUCAGAAAUGACCUGUGAAAAGCUCUUACAUGCCUCAUGUGAAAUAUCCACCCCUUCUGACAACUUUGCCUGUUCAAAGCAGGAACAGAAGACUUUGUUGACUUUUUGGGGAGGGGUGUUUGGAAGUUGUAAAAUGUUAUGGAUUGUCACCUAUGUCCUGCUGGAAAUAACUGUUUUUGAAAAGUAUCUUAUGGAGCUGUAUACAAGUUGGCUUGGUGGAAGGGGGGGAUCAUUUCCUACCCAAAGUCAUAAAGAUAUUCUUUACUGCCUUGUAAAAGUUUUACAGUUUUGCUUUUCAUACGUCUUUAGUCUUUAGAACUGGUUUUUGUGAAAAGUAUGAGAUAGAAGUUCAAUAUAAUAUAUUUUCCAUAUAGAUAAGUGGUUGUUGCAGCACCAUUUUCUGAAAAGUUCAUCCUUUCCUCACUGACCUGUAACACUGUCUCUUUCAUAAAUCAAGUUUGUGUGUUUGUGUGGGUCUCUUGAUGGUUUCUGUUCUGACUCACUGGUCAAUUUGUCUAACCUGUGGCAGUACUAUACAAUCCUGAGUAUGACAACUUUAGAAAAAGGUCUUGAUAUCUCAGGACAAAUCCCACCUCCACCUCCAACAUCAUCACCAAAUUUUUCUUCCUUGAGAGUAUCUUGGCUAUUUUUAGCCAUUUGCUUUUCCAUACAAUUUCUAGAAUUAGAUUGAGAAGUUCUAAAUCAAACAAAAAAAAUGUUGGAAUUUUUAUUAGAUUUAUGGAUUAAUUACAGUGUUGAAUCUUCCAAUCCAUGAACAUGGUAUAGCAUUUAUUUAGGCUUUUUAAAUGUCUUUCAAUAAAGUUUUAUAAUUUUCUCCAUAAA
rnacentral:lncRNA from 1 species